AUACGGGGGAUGCGAGCGUUAUCCGGAUUUAUUGGGUUUAAAGGGUGCGUAGGCGGCCUGUUAAGUCAGCGGUGAAAUGUCCUCGCUCAACGAGGAAAGUGCCGUUGAUACUGGUGGGCUUGAAUGCGGAUGCCGUUGGAGGAAUGUGUGGUGUAGCGGUGAAAUGCAUAGAUAUCACACAGAACACCGAUUGCGAAGGCAUCUGACGAAUCCGCGAUUGACGCUGAUGCACGAAAGCGUGGGGAUC
rnacentral:rRNA from 1 species